AAUGGGAUUCCUUAAGUAAUUGCGAAUGAACAAGGAAAUGCUCAGCUUGAAAAAUGGGGCCUUUGGCUUUGAAUUGUAAUUUUGAAAUGUAUUGCCAAUGGAGGCGCAGGUGCAAGCCUAUUGAAAGAAAGCGUCAAUGAGGGUGAGAUUCCUUUUUGUCAUUUGCAGUCCUCCGUGCACGGUAUAUAUUUGACGAGUCACACUCCUCGGCAUUGGAAUGCAAAGUGGGUGGUAAAUUCCAUGUAAAGGUAAAUAUAUUAUUGAGACUGAUAGCAAACAAGUACCAUGAGGGAAAUAUGAAAAGGACUUUGAAAAGAGAAUUAAAAGAGUCUGCAUUUGCUGAACAGAAAGCAAACAGAAUUGAUUUUACUUGGUGAGAUUGUUGUGCUUACUCUAUCAUUUAUAUGGUUGAUGUGGGUGCGAUGGUUCUUACCUUGAAUGUCAGCUUCUAUUUCUGCAAAUCAUUACCCUUGCACAUGAAUGGUAAUUUGCCUGCGGGUAUUGGAAUGCAUGUGUUUGCAAUGAUUUGUGAUUUGACGCAUGUGUUUGGUGAAAUUUGUAUAUGCUCUUUUGUCGAAGGGGAAAGCUUACUUUUUUGAGCAUUGCAAGCCCUUACACAUCAGUGCUGGCAAAAUGUUUCUGCUUGACCCGUCUUGAAACACGGACCAAGGAGUCUAACAGAUGUGCAAGUUCGUGGGUGGCAAACCUUUUUGCGCAAUGAAAGUAUUGGCUGGGAUACUUGCACCAGCAGCCGACCAAUUAGCAGACAGAGGUUUGAGUUUGAGCAUAUCUAUUAGGACCCGAAAGAUGGUGAACUAUGCCUGAACAGAAUGAAUUCAGAGGAAACUCUGAUGGAGGUUCGUAUCGAUACUGACGUGCAAAUCGUUCGUCAUACUUGGGUAUAGGGGCGAAAGACUAAUCGAACCAUCUAGUAGCUGGUUCCCUCCGAAGUUUCCCUCAGGAUAGCUGGAGUUGCACAGUUUUAUCAGGUAAAGCGAAUGAUUAGAGGAAUUGGGGACACGCUGUCCUUGACCUAUUCUCAAACUUUAAAUGGGUAAGAUGCAAUGGUUGCUUUAUUGAACUUUUGGAAUAAAUGGCAAUAUCAGGUGGGCCAUUUUUGGUAAGCAGAACUGGCGAUGAGGGAUGAACCUAACGUUGGGUUAAGGUGCUUAAUUGCUUGCUCAUUAGAUACCAGAAAGGGUGUUGGUUCAUUUUAACAGCAGGACGGUGGUCAUGGAAGUCGAAAUCCGCUAAGGAGUGUGUAACAACUCACCUGCCGAAUGGACUAGCCCCGAAAAUGGAUGGCGCUCAAGCGGGUGACCGAUACCCAGACCACUGUUGCAAAUAGUNUCAGUGUGUAGGAGGGCAUGGCGGUUUGUGA
rnacentral:rRNA from 1 species